CCUACGGGUGGCAGCAGUGGGGAAUAUUGCGCAAUGGGCGAAAGCCUGACGCAGCGACGCCGCGUGAGGGAUGAAGGUCUUCGGAUCGUAAACCUCUGUCAGCAGGGAAGAACGGUCACUGUGCUAAUCAGCAGUGAAUUGACGGUACCUGCAAAGGAAGCACCGGCUAACUCCGUGCCAGCAGCCGCGGUAAUCCGGAGGGUGCGCGCGUUAAUGGGAAUUACUGGGCGUAAAGCGCUCGUCGGCGGUAUGUCAAGUCAAGGGGGAAAUCCCCGCGCUCAACGUGGGAACUGCCUUUGAAACGGGCAAACUGGAGUGUGUGAGAGGAGAGGGGAAUUCAAGGUGUAGGAGUGAGAUCCGUAGAUAUCUGGAGGAACAUCAGUGGCGAAGGCGACUAUCUGGCACAUAACUGACGCUGAGGAGCGAAAGCGUGGGUAGCAAACAGGAUUAGAUACCCUGGUAGUC
rnacentral:rRNA from 1 species